CGGGUGAGUAAUACGUAGGAAUCUGCCCAGUAGCGGGGGACAACUUAGGGAAACUUAAGCUAAUACCGCAUACGCACUACGGUGGAAAGCAGGGGAUCGCAAGACCUUGCACUAUUGGAUGAGCCUACGUCCGAUUAGCUAGUUGGUAGGGUAACGGCCUACCAAGGCGACGAUCGGUAGCUGGUCUGAGAGGACGACCAGCCACACUGGGACUGAGACACGGCCCAGACUCC
rnacentral:rRNA from 1 species